rnacentral:snoRNA from 1 species
UAACAUGAUGACUAAGUUGUCGCCCCAAGCGGAUCUUUGAAAUGACCGAUUUUACAAACAACACACUGAAAAUUCUGAAA